rnacentral:rRNA from 1 species
UACGUAGGGUGCGAGCGUUGUCCGGAAUUACUGGGCGUCAAGAGCUCGUAGGUGGUUUGUCGCGUUGUUCGUGAAAACUCACAGCUCAACUGUGGGCGUGCGGGCGAUACGGGCAGACUGGAGUACUGCAGGGGAGACUGGAAUUCCUGGUGUAGCGGUGGAAUGCGCAGAUAUCAGGAGGAACACCGGUGGCGAAGGCGGGUCUCUGGGCAGUAACUGACGCUGAGGAGCGAAAGCGUGGGGAGCGAACAGG